GGAGUAAAAGUCGUAACAAGGUCUCCGUUGGUGAACCAGCGGAGGGAUCAUUACAGGACUCGCAAGACUCCUACAACCCUGUGAACUUAACUAUAAGCACGUUGCUUCGGCGGGUGUCUCGGAGGGGGUUCUCCCUCCCCGAGAUGCUAAACCCGCCGGCAGCCUACUAUACUCUGUCUCUUUGCGUUGGCAUCUCGAGUACAAUCAAACAAGUUAAAACUUUCAACAACGGAUCUCUUGGUUCUG
rnacentral:misc_RNA from 1 species